AAUAGAUACCCUGGUAGUCCAUGCCGUAAACGAUGAGUGCUAAGUGUUAGGGGGUUUCCGCCCCUUAGUGCUGCAGCUAACGCAUUAAGCACUCCGCCUGGGGAGUACGACCGCAAGGUUGAAACUCAAAGGAAUUGACGGGGGCCCGCACAAGCGGUGGAGCAUGUGGUUUAAUUCGAAGCAACGCGAAGAACCUUACCAGGUCUUGACAUCCCAGUGACCACUCUAGAGAUAGAGUUUUCCCUUCGGGGACAUUGGUGACAGGUGGUGCAUGGUUGUCGUCAGCUCGUGUCGUGAGAUGUUGGGUUAAGUCCCGCAACGAGCGCAACCCUUGAUCUUAGUUGCCAUCAUUUAGUUGGGCACUCUAAGGUGACUGCCGGUGACAAACCGGAGGAAGUGGGGAUGACGUCAAAUCAUCAUGCCCCUUAUGACCUGGGCUACACACGUGCUACAAUGGACGGUACAAAGAGUCGCUAACUCGCGAGAGUACGCUAAUCUCAUAAAACCGUUCUCAGUUCGGA
rnacentral:rRNA from 1 species